ACUGUCUACAACAAUGUCUCUCAACAAUAGUUAUCACUUCCUCAGUCGACAUGUUUUCACAUUCUGUCACUGGGAAUGUAAUAGCUAUUCUGGAUAGA
rnacentral:pre_miRNA from 1 species